rnacentral:rRNA from 1 species
UAGGGAAUAUUGCAAAAUGGGCGAAAGCCCGAUGCAGCAACGCUGCGUGGGCGAUGAAGGCCUUCGGGUCGUAAAGCCCUUUUUGAGGGGAUGAGGAAGGACAGCACCCUCAGAAUAAGCCUCGGCUAACUACGUGCCAGCAGCCGCGGUAAAACGUAGGAGGCGAGCGUUAUCCGGAUUUACUGGGCGUAAAGCGCGUGCAGGCGGAUUGGAGAGUUGGAUGUGAAAGCUCCCGGCUUAACUGGGAGAGGUCGUUCAAUACUUCCAGUCUUGAGUGCAGUAGAGGGAAGUGGAAUUCCGGGUGUAGUGGUGAAAUGCGUAGAUAUCCGGAGGAACACCAGUGGCGAAAGCGGCUUCCUGGACUGUAACUGACGCUCAGACGCGAAAGCUAGGGUAGCAAACG